CUCGGAACUCGAAAUAUCAAGCGUCGGAUAGCGAAAUACCUUUUUUGAGAAUCCAAGCGAGCUCAUCCUCGAGCGGUGGAUUCUCCACUUCAAACUCCUUGAUCAGAUCUUUCGAGUAAACAGGAUCACCGUCUUCACUCCACCAGGCACCCGUGACCUUCCUCAACGUGGCACCGGCUCCCUUAGCAUUCGAGUAAUAAUGCAGGGCCAGCAUUAUUUUCCAUCGUCACUUUUCGUGACCGGACUUUUGCCCCUGAUAUUGAUUCUGUCCGCGGUGACAUCGCCUCGAAAAUUUCUAUCUUUUUCUUUUCUCUUUCCCUUUUCAGGAAAUCUUAUUCCAUGUUUAGACGUUUGAUUGUGACGUUACUAUGACUAGUAAAAAGUGCGAGAAUUAAAUUAAUCAUUGUAUGAUGUAUAUGUAUCUGUAUAUAAUUGAAACGGGAUUUCAUAAAAGUUCCAAAUCAUUCUGUCAAUAGUUGCUAAAUCUGAACGAAACUGGUUCAAAAUUUUCGAUAUUUAAUCAGUAAAUUCAUUUUGCGAAACCAACUAAACACAGAACUUGAGUUCUCUAUGUAUUGUAUUUGUAUUUGGUUUCUCCAUGUACAUUGACUAGCAAGUUAGACCGACUUUUGAGUUGUCAGAUGAAUUCUUCGUCUGAUUACAAUAUCCACAAUGCUAAAGAGGAUAAAAGGAAAAUAUUAUUUUCGGUAAUCUGUAAUGUCGUAACAAGAAGGAACUGGCGAUACACACACACACACACACACAAAAGAGAGAAUGUUUUAUGAGGCUCAAAUUGAAUUCCACCGAGUUUUUCGAUUAUCAUUAAUUA
rnacentral:misc_RNA from 1 species